AUGAACGCUGGCGGCGUGCUUAACACAUGCAAGUCGAACGAUGAAGCCCAGCUUGCUGGGUGGAUUAGUGGCGAACGGGUGAGUAACACGUGAGUAACCUGCCCUUAACUCUGGGAUAAGCCUGGGAAACUGGGUCUAAUACCGGAUAGGAGCGUCCACCGCAUGGUGGGUGUUGGAAAGAUUUAUCGGUUUUGGAUGGACUCGCGGCCUAUCAGCUUGUUGGUGAGGUAAUGGCUCACCAAGGCGACGACGGGUAGCCGGCCUGAGAGGGUGACCGGCCACACUGGGACUGAGACACGGCCCAGACUCCUACGGGAGGCAGCAGUGGGGAAUAUUGCACAAUGGGCGCAAGCCUGAUGCAGCGACGCCGCGUGAGGGAUGACGGCCUUCGGGUUGUAAACCUCUUUCAGCAGGGAAGAAGCGAAAGUGACGGUACCUGCAGAAGAAGCACCGGCUAACUACGUG
rnacentral:rRNA from 1 species